UAAUUUUACACCUUACUACGUCCCCUUUAGAGUAAUUCAAAUGAGGUACAGCCCAUUUGAUAAAGGAUACAACCUUAACUAACGGGUAAAAUAUUAAUCUACACCUUUAAGUAGGCCUAAGAGCAGCCAUCUUUUAAAAAGCGUCAAAGCUUAACUUUGUCUUAAUUAAUUUAAAAAUCUAAACUGACCCCUUUAAUAAUACUGAGAACUUCUAUAACCCUAUAGAACUUUUUAUGCUAAAACUAGUAACAAGAGAAAACCCCUCUCCUAAAUGCAAGCACAAGCCAGCAAGAACCCAUCACUGGCAACUAACAGACCUACAAAUAGCAACCUUAUACAAGAAAAUCCUACUUUCUCCCCCUGUUAAACUUAUACUAGAGCAUUUCAAGAAAAAUUAAAAGAAAAAGAAGGAAUUCGGCAAACACUAACCCCGCCUGUUUACCAAAAACAUCGCCUCUUGACCCCCCCCCCAUAAGAGGUCCAGCCUGCCCAGUGACUCUGUUCAACGGCCGCGGUAUUCUAACCGUGCAAAGGUAGCGUAAUCACUUGUUUUCUAAAUAAAGACCAGUAUGAAAGGCACCACGAAGGUUAAGCUGUCUCCUUUUUCUAAUUAGUGAACCU
rnacentral:rRNA from 1 species